UACGUAGGGGCAAGCGUUGGUCCGGAAUCAUUGGGCGUAAAGAGCGUGUAGGCGGCCUGGUAAGUCCGCUGUGAAAGUCCAGGGCUCAACCCUGGAAUGCCGGUGGAAACUGUCAGGCUCGAGUCCGGAAGAGGCGAGUGGAAUUCCUGGUGUAGCGGUGAAAUGCGCAGAGUAUCAGGAGGAACACCAAUGGCGAAGGCAGCUCGCU
rnacentral:rRNA from 1 species